rnacentral:rRNA from 1 species
UACGUAGGGGCGAGCGUUGUCCGGAUUUACUGGGCGUAAAGCGUCCGCAGGCGGUCAGCCAAGUUCGUAGUGACAGUCUCCAGCUCAACUGGGGAAGGCCUAUGAAGACUGGUUGACUUGAGGCUUCAGAGGGACAUGGAAUCCGGGUGGAGUGGUGAAAUGCGUAGAGAUCCGGAGGAACACCAAAGGCGCAGGCAGUGUCCUGGGA